GUUGACCUCGAAUCAGGUAGGAUACCCGUC
rnacentral:rRNA from 1 species